ensembl:lncRNA
ACUAAAUUCACAAACCUUCACAGCUGACAGAAGCUCGUACGUCAACGCGGUUACGUGCGUGGUAGAAAUAGAAAAAAAUAUAUAUAUAUAACAUAUAUAUAUAUAUGUAUGGCUAGAUCACUUACAGCGAAAUAUAGAACGUCCGCACAUGGCGGCCAUAUUAGUACGGUCAACUAACCACCCAUAAUCAGGAAUCAGGAAACAUUUAUUGCCAUAAUAUGUGACAUACAAGGAAUUUGACUUGGCGGUUGGUGCGUAACAGCAGACAGUACGACAAUGGACGACAAGACAACAGGCUAUGGUGAGGAGGAACAAGCAGUUUAUCACAUGCAGAGCGGAGAGUGCGGGUCGGGAUGUCGGGUUGGACCAGGUCCUGGAUGGAAGCUGGACCCCAUCCAUUCACAGCCUGACAGGAAGUCUGUGAUCCACUUGCAGGUGGAGUCGGGCGGUGCAGCUGGGAGAGUUUGUCCUGCAGCAGAGACGGGAUGAUGGUGUUGAAGGCAGAGCUGAAGUCCACAAACAGGAUCCUGGCGUAGGUUCCUGGGGAGUCCAGAAGCUGGAG